CCGACUCACUGCCCUCGUUCGCGGCCGCCUCCAUCCCUUCGCCGCUGCCGCUCCAUCCCUUCGCCGCCGCUAACGUGCCGGAUCUUGCCUCAGCCGCCGCCUCUCCGCCGUGAAAGAGAGGGCUCCCAAUCUCCGCCGGGGUCGACCAACAGCGCGACGCGCCACCAGAUCGGCGAUGCGCCGGGAUCGCCUCUCCGCCUCGGCGCUUGCGCUUCCAGAUCGAAGCCCACGACGGUGGCGUUCCCAGAUCGGCGACGCGCCACCAUACGUCACGGCUGACGGCCGUGUCCUCGGCAAGGAAGCGUUGCUUCGAGGUGGCGGCAACCAAGGCCUCCCGGAUCCCCGCCUCCUUCCUCACAUCUCCGGCGGCGACAACGACAAAUUCCGACACCACGAGGCCACCGGCACGAGGAGGAUGCGGCGGGAGGGGUUUCGGCGGCAGGAGCGACGGCGGCGACCGCGGGGGCAGGGGCUUCGGCGGGAGAAGCGAUGGCGGCUGCCGCAGCGGCAGGGGUGGCCGGGGAGGCGGGGGUGGCCGGGGAGGCAGAAAUCCCUGGUAUUCUCAUGGCUCACCCCGACCCCGGCUCUGGUUUUCCUCAUACCAGCCGCCGGCGACCGGACUCGCUUCCUUCCUCCGACUGGUCGAUUGGCUCCACCCUCCCCAGAAUCCCCACUCCCUUCGCCAACUCCUGCUCCAACACUGAUGCGCUGACACCGCCGCCUCCUGGUCGGCAUGCACGGCCGCACGCCCAGCAGUUACCGUGGCCGAUGGUGGAACAGCCCUGAGACCCUCCUUGUGUUGCAGUGCUUGCAGAAGAGGCAAGGCGCCCAGGGAGUCCUGAGAAGACACCCUCGCCGCUGACCUUGAGGUACAGGUCUGUCUCCAUGAGCUCGAGGAAGCCAUGGCCGAUGCAUCCAGCUGCGGAUGCCGCAUCUUUGUGGCCACCACCCUCCCUCACCGCCCUACACAACUGGCUCCGCGGUCACCUCGUCGCCGCGGCCGGCCUUCAGUUUUGUGAACUACAUUUGCAGAGGUAGCUUAAGUGCAAUUUCAUUUCAGGGAGAGUUGGCACAUAUUUUUCCUUUUGGGCUGAUACUUCAGACUUCAGUACACAUCAAUAUACUGAAGUACAACUUCAGGUUUUAGUUACGGUUUAUGCGCAUUGCCAUGCUCUAAACUUCUGAUCCAUGGAGACGUAACAUGUUUUGUACAGAAAUAAAUCAUCGUAAUAUAAUCUCAUGCAACUUGAUGUACUAUUCUUUGUUGUAUUGAGAAGCUGCAAAGCCCAAGCCUCGUGUAAAUAUAGGAGGGCAUCUCGGAAGAUAUGGGGUGAGUGAUCUACAUAAUUUUUGGGAUAAGUACAUGGUGUUUAACAUAAUUUACAUUUGUCUUUAUAGUAGUCCUCCUAAAUGUUUAUUGUUGAGUGUCUCAUUUCCAGCAUAUUAGUAGAGGAGCAUGCAAGUUUGGAUAGUUAUGUUUGUUGAUGGGAUUCAUUGUGCUGGUUAAAGUCAUAAUAUAUCAGCAGGUAUGGCAUGGGAUUCAUUGUUCUGGUAUGAUGAGAGUAGAUCAUUGUAUACAUUUCACCGUAUUGGAUUAUUUUGUGCCAAAUUCUUUAGUCAGGUACCUUCUUUCUCUUAAACCAUCUUCAUCUACGUGUUUUAUAUAUUUACAACUUCCAACUUAAUAGUAGAGAUUUAAUCUCAAUACUUGCUUGCAUGGUGUAAGAAUGUAGAAGUAUGUUUUAUUUUGGCUCCUACCUGUAGUCUAAAACUGGGUGUUCCAAGAAUUUGUUUUAGGCAUGGUCUUCUUUGCUACCUCCUCAUGGGCGAUCCUCAUUAUUUGUUCCUUGAUUCUCUAUGCAAGAAUCUUGCCUCAUGGUCGAAAACAUAUGGUCACAUAUUUUCGACAGGGAAUUAAUUUUAGUCAGAGCCAUUCGAUAAAUGAUCGGCCGAUUAGUAUAAUUUUCUAGCUUAAUACAUGUCAUGUAAGUAUGUUUUCCUUAAUGUGAUAGGUAAUGUAAAUUUUGUGGGUCUCUCAGUUGCUAUGAGCCUACUACAGUUAAUUGGAAAGCAUGAUUUCGAUGGUAAUGCAACAGAAACAGAACCUGAAGCAUUAGUUAAUUGGAUAGCAUGGUUCCCAAGGAAAAGCAAAUGAAACAGAACCUGGAAUAAUAGUUAAUUGGAUAGCAUGAUUCCGAUGGAAAUGCAAAAAAAAAUAGAACCAAUAAUAAGAUAGAUAAGAUGUGACUGACACUAGCGUAGGGAGCACACGACGGCCGUCGUCCGCGCGGCCGACAUUGACACUGGUGUAGACAGUAGGCCACUGAAGAUCGUGUUGGCGAUGUAGUAUUUCCAUGAGCAUGCAUCAAAUAUCAAAUCUCUUUACCAGUCUCUUCCGCUGUCCACAUGGCUCCCCUUUUUCUGUACCACCACCUCAACUUGGUAGGACUUGAGAUUUACUUUGGUGUCUACCCCGUGCAGGAGAUGACUUUGUCGUACCCGACGUGCGGAAAUGCGAUGGUGUCUACCUUGAAGCUUGAAGAGUUCAUGAGGAAGUCUUGCUAGCAUCUAGAGUUGGAUGCCCUCACGAAGACUACUGAUUUCAAUGGGCAUGGAGGCUCCAGCCUAGGGCGAGGGCGUGGUGCGUUGAGAUGGCGGAGCUGCGUUGGUGGGAGGCGUCGAUGGCGGCGGCAACGCCAAUGUCCACCGGGAUCUCUAGCCGCAAAAGUUGGAAGAACAACUUGGGGAUGUCGUGCAGCUCCUGCGUGUAGUAGAUAAAUUGCCGCCCAGAUAAAUCACCGAGACACUACCAAGUGUGUCGUUCAUUGGGCCAGGAUAAAACAUCUUGAGGGUGCCUCAUGUGCGACUCUAGCUAUUGAAAGUCAAAGAACUUGACUACUUUCGGAGUUUGAUAAGGCUUUACAGUGAGUUCUCAUACUUUUACUGUUUUUUUUUCGAAACGGUUUUACUUUUGUUGUUAUUAAGCAGAUUCUGUCAAAGCAAUUGCUAUGUGUAUGCCAUUUUCAUGUUCUAUACGUGGCUGUUUUUCCAUGUUCUAGACAUGGAUAUGAUGAUUGGUCGAUGAGGCAAUUGAUUUCUAAUACCAGCAAUUUGGUUUCUGGAUAUUCUAAUACUGACAGUUUUGUUUCAUUGUCCAACGCUGAAUCUAUUCAUAUGGUGAUGGAUGCAGCAUAACCAUCAAUUGAAGUAGAUAAUAUGCAAGGCUAUUUACCAUUAUCCAGGUUUAUUUAACAUUUAGGUUUGUAGUAAUUUAUUCAACAUCCAGGUUUGUAGUGUUAACACUGAUUUAUUUAGUUUCAAAUUGGUACGUUUCAGUUGCAUAAAGGCAUAAACAUCUGUCAUUUCUGAAUAAGUUGUGGAUGAUUUCCCAGCUGUAAGUAUAUACGAAACACACAUUAUAUUUUAUUUCACUUGUUAUCUGCACAUGGCAAUUAAUUUGGAUAGGACAAGUUAAAGUACAUCUAUUCAACGGCGGUUUUUGUCAUGUGUUUUAAGUUUUCAUUAUUACUAGCAGGGGUUUCUAUAGCUAGCCCGAUGAUGACCCCCACUUUAACUGACAUGAUGUCAAGCUCAAGGCUACCAGUGAAAAUCCAUAUAGCUCAUCGAGUCAUUUUUUGAUCACUAGCCCUAUUGUUAUCGUGUCAUUUUCAUGAUUGUCAAAUGCCUAACUGAUGCUUUAAUUAAUUCAUUGCCUCCAGUUCGUGUAGCAUGGUGGUAACAUAAUUUGUCCAUUUUGUGAAUGAUGUGAACUUUGAGAGUAGCCACAGUACCAAAUCAUGUGUAGCUGGGUGUAGGGAGUCUGUCGAUUUUUUAUAUGCGAAUCACUGAUUGCUACGGUUAGGAAGAAUUUUCGUUCACCACCAAAGACCGACACGUGAUAACCAUUGCGCUUUCUUUCUGGAGCGCAAUAUUUACUUUUGUUAUCACUAUAUUCUUUAUAUUAUUAAUUUAAAGUUUUGCAGGAAUGUGUCUGGCUAUUUUGUUUUUCAUUUUAUGCUCUGGUGGAACGGUAAAGAAUUGGUCAAGCUGGUUUGCGCUAUGAGUUUUCUGCGUUACAUGUUUUAAGACCUUCAGCGUGAAAUUUUCAUACUAACUACAUGUAUUGUUUGUGCAGGAUGGGUAUGAAUUGAGGAAGCAUUUUUUAUUAUACUUGCUAAAACAUCGUGGGAAUGAAGCUAGAGGAAACUUUCCUGAUAUUGUGAAAGAAUUUCUUAAGCACAUCAUCUAGAUAUUAAUAGUUUUGUAAUAGAUGUUCAGUUGGAACAUCGCUCAGUUUGUUACAUGGACAUGUCAUUAAUUUUUCUUUGUGUUAUCAAAUUACAUUGCAA